GCCAGUAGUCUCCCCUCCAUGAGUCAUGCUCCUUCCCGCAAUAGUUAGGGGAGGAUGUGGAGACGAUGGGCUGGGGAGUAGAGGCUACUACCUUUAGACCCUGCCGGGCGGGGUGCCCCAGAGGGUGACGGGCCCCGGGGCCCUUGGGGAAGUCCCAAAGGGGCUGCUGCUCCCCUGUGUAGAUUAAUAGAAGCACGGACGUUUGCAUCAGACCACCGCUGUGAGUGCCUGCGUGGUGACCAAAAGGACGAGGGCUUUCGGGGGCUUUCGCUGACCACUGAGAGCCUGUGGAUGUGCAGGCCACUGUGCUCAUGGGCCAGGAGAAUUCCUAAGGCAGGGUUUGCUGGCUCUUUUCUACAGAGGAGGAAACUGAGCCUCCGUGGAGGCCUCGGAGCUCCUGGUUCUUGGGCUUCCCAGCUCCCAGUGGGGCUUCUCAGACCUCCGGCCUUCGGCUGAAUCUCACCACCCUGUUUCCGGCUACUCCAGCUUGUAGAUGGCAGCUUGCGGGAUUUCUCAGCCUUGGCAAUCACAUCAGCCAGCUCCUAGAAUAAAUUUCCUCUUACAUGCA